rnacentral:rRNA from 1 species
AUCUGGGACGAAACCCUCAUAUUCUUAUGAGACUGACGGUACCAGAGGAAUAAGCACCGGCUAACUCCGUGCCAGCAGCCGCGGUAAUACGGAGGGUGCAAGCGUUAUCCGGAUUCACUGGGUUUAAAGGGUGCGUAGGAGGGCAGGUAAGUCAGUGGUGAAAUCUCCAAGCUUAACUUGGAAACUGCCGUUGAUACUAUCUGUCUUGAAUAUUGUGGAGGUGAGCGGAAUAUGUCAUGUAGCGGUGAAAUGCUUAGAUAUGACAUAGAACACCAAUUGCGAAGGCAGCUCACUACACAAUCAUUGACUCUGAGGCACGAAAGCGUGGGGAUCAAACAGGAUUAGAUACCCUGGUAGUCCACGCCCUAAACUAUGGAUACUCGACAUACGCGAUAUACAGUGUGUGUCUGAGCGAAAGCAUUAAGUAUCCCACCUGGGAAGUACGACCGCAAGGUUG